CUCACUUGGUAAUAUAGAUGCUUUAUUUGGUUUGCUUGAUCGUUUUCCUGAUUGAGAUCUGUUUUGGUUGUAGUUCUUAUCAAUGAGACUUGCUGCGGUUAACCCGAGAGUUGAUUUCAACCUCGAAAGUCUUUUUGCAGCAGAACGGAGUGGUUCCCAUGUGGAGAGUAACUUACAAGACAUGGUUGUGCCGCCUAUCUGGGCUGAGGGACAAAGCAGCGGAAACAGAAACCAAUAUCAACAUCUAUGGCUUAUUGAAGGGUUCCAUCAGCCUGCCUGGGGAAGGUUAGAAGACAAUUCUAGCUUUGUUACACCAGAGAACUCGCUGUUGACAUAUGAUUCCUCAGCAAAUUCAGCAUCUUUACAUCCAAAUCAGCUGAAAAUGGAGCUAUGAAAGAAGAAGCAAUUCUUUUACUAGUGAUUAGCUGUAUAUAUAUCGGACAUAUUAGUUGGUAGCAGCUGGUGCGAGAGAAGAGAGUUAUCAAGAAUUGAGAUUUUGGGUUUCACCUUCUUCUAAUCAAACAGCAAGGAGGAACUCCAGUUUGAUCUCCGCUAGAGAGGGAGAAAAUUACGCGUAUCCCUUAUUUCUAUUUAUAUAUAACAUAUAUGUACGCAGAAAGAUCUGUCUAUACGAACAUAGGGUCAUUCACUCAAUCUGAUACUUGGUACGCCAGAUGAUUGAUUGAUUGAUUCGUAGUUGUAAAACAAGAACAAGAACAAACUAGUGGUGACUAUCACAUUGUUAAGCAGGCAAGG
rnacentral:misc_RNA from 1 species